rnacentral:rRNA from 1 species
AUUACCGCGGCUGCUGGCACGUAGUUAGCCGGUGCUUAUUCUUACGGUACCGUCAUUAGCAAACUGUAUUAGAGCUCGCCGUUUCGUUCCGUACAAAAGCAGUUUACAACCCGAAGGCCUUCAUCCUGCACGCGGCAUUGCUGGAUCAGGCUUGCGCCCAUUGUCCAAAUAUCCCC